CCUACGGGAGGCUGCAGUGAGGAAUAUUUGUCAAUGGACGCAAGUCUGAACCAGCCAUGCCGCGUGCAGGAUGACGGCUCUAUGAAUUGUAAACCGCUUUUGUACGAGGAUAAAGCCCGAUACGUGUACCGGGUUGAAAGUACCUUAUGAAUAAGGCUCGGCUAACUCCGUGCCAGCAGCCGCGGUAAUACGGAGGAUCCGAGCGUUAUCCGGAUUUAUUGGGUUUAAAGGGUGCGUAGGCGGCUUGUUAAGUUAGAGGUGAAAUGUCGGGGCUCAACCCCGAAACUGCCUUUAAAACUGUGGGACUAGAGAAUAGUUGCGGUAGGCGGAAUGUAUGGUGUAGCGGUGAAAUGCUUAGAGAUCAUACAGAACACCGAUUGCGAAGGCAGCUUACCAAACUAUAUCUGACGUUGAGGCACGAAAGCGUGGGUAGCAAACAGGAUUAGAUACCCCAGUAGUC
rnacentral:rRNA from 1 species